rnacentral:rRNA from 1 species
AGGACGAACGCUGGCGGCGUGCUUAACACAUGCAAGUCGAGCGGAAAGGCCCUUCGGGGUACUCGAGCGGCGAACGGGUGAGUAACACGUGAGUAAUCUGCCCCUAGCUCUGGGAUAGCUCCGGGAAGCCGGGAUUAAUACCAGAUACGACCACUUUAGACAUCUGUUGUGGUGGAAAGAAUUUUGGCUAGGGAUGAGCUCGCGGCCUAUCAGCUUGUUGGUGAGGUAACGGCUCACCAAGGCGACGACGGGUAGCCGGCCUGAGAGGGCGACCGGCCACACUGGGACUGAGACACGGCCCAGACUCCUACGGGAGGCAGCAGUGGGGAAUAUUGCGCAAUGGGCGAAAGCCUGACGCAGCGACGCCGCGUGGGGGAUGAAGGCCUUCGGGUUGUAAACCCCUUUCAGCAGGGACGAAGCGAAAGUGACGGUACCUGCAGAAGAAGCGCCGGCUAACUACGUGCCAGCAGCCGC